ensembl:lncRNA
CACUAGCCUGGAGCAGUUACCAUGGCAUCAAGCGGUGGGUACUCUAUAAACUCAGCCCAGGAUGAGUAAUCGGAUGAGAACACACCCCUGCUGACAGGCAAUGGGCAGCCAACUGGACCCAAAGCAGCUCCUCAGUGCGAUGGAAUUUGGCUAUCCUCAGUACUUCGGACUUGCUGUUGUCUACGGUCUCCGAGUCAAUCUCAGCGUUGCUAUGGUAGCCAUGGUUAACAACACGUACCCUGAGUGCCUGCGACAGACAGACAGACACACCCACCGAGAGGACAGCGCCCAGCUAGCCUCCAGUGAGUUUUCCCUCCUUUAUUAUAUAUUUAAAUAUAUAUAUAUAUAAAUGAAUAAAUAAAUAAAUACAUGCAUAAAUACCUUUUAUUUUUUUUUACUUUUUUUAAAAACUGAUUUUGUGUGUGUUUGCUUGUUAGUUCAGUGUCCAAAAGCCACGCUUACGCAGUUCCAGUGCCUGCGACAGACAGACAGACACACCGAGAGGACAGCGCCCAGCUAGCCUCCAGUGAGUCAGCCCUCCCUGAACCACACCAUUGGUCAGGAAUGCCCAGCACCCAUCCCACCCAGCAUUGACAACUCCACGCAAACCCCAGAACAGCCAGAUUGGAUCCCUCAGUUUGCGCAGACAAUGGAUCCAGACUGGCCAACGCAGUACCGAGUGACGGAGGUUGGGGACAACAACUUGGUGCAGCUGGAGACCUUGGAUGGCCACCAAUUGAAGACCCAGA